rnacentral:rRNA from 1 species
UAGCCGGACUGAGAGGUUGAACGGCCACAUUGGGACUGAGACACGGCCCAGACUCCUACGGGAGGCAGCAGUGGGGAAUAUUGCACAAUGGGGGAAACCCUGAUGCAGCGACGCCGCGUGGAGGAAGAAGGUCUUCGGAUUGUAAACUCCUGUUGUUGAGGAAGAUAAUGACGGUACUCAACAAGGAAGUGACGGCUAACUACGUGCCAGCAGCCGCGGUAAAACGUAGGUCACAAGCGUUGUCCGGAAUUACUGGGUGUAAAGGGAGCGCAGGCGGGAAGACAAGUUGGAAGUGAAAUCCAUGGGCUCAACCCAUGAACUGCUUUCAAAACUGUUUUUCUUGAGUAGUGCAGAGGUAGGCGGAAUUCCCGGUGUAGCGGUGGAAUGCGUAGAUAUCGGGAGGAACACCAGUGGCGAAGGCGGCCUACUGGGCACCAACUGACGCUGAGGCUCGAAAGUGUGGGUAGCAAACAGGAUUAGAUACCCUGGUAGUCCACACCGUAAACGAUGAUUACUAGGUGUUGGAGGAUUGACCCCUUCAGUGCCGCAGUUAACACAAUAAGUAAUCCACCUGGGGAGUACGACCGCAAGGUUGAAACUCAAAGGAAUUGACGGGGGCCCGCACAAGCAGUGGAGUAUGUGGUUUAAUUCGACGCAACGCGAAGAACCUUACCAAGUCUUGACAUCCUGCGACGAUGCUGGAAACAGUAUUUUCCUUCGGGACGCAGAGACAGGUGGUGCAUGGUUGUCGUCAGCUCGUGUCGUGAGAUGUUGGGUUAAGUCCCGCAACGAGCGCAACCCUUAUGGUCAGUUACUACGCAAGAGGACUCUGGCCAGACUGCCGUUGACAAAACGGAGGAAGGUGGGGAUGACGUCAAAUCAUCAUGCCCUUUAUGACUUGGGCUACACACGUACUACAAUGGCGUUAAACAAAGAGAAGCAAGACCGCGAGGUGGAGCAAAACUCAGAAACAACGUCCCAGUUCGGACUGCAGGCUGCAACUCGCCUGCACGAAGUCGGAAUUGCUAGUAAUCGUGGAUCAGCAUGCCACGGUGAAUACGUUCCCGGGCCUUGUACACACCGCCCGUCACACCAUGAGAGCCGGGGGGACCCGAAGUCGGUAGUCUAACCGCAAGGAGGACGCCGCCGAAGGUAAAACUGGUGAUUGGGGUGAAGUCGUAACAAGGUAGCCGUAGGAGAACCUGCGGCUG